rnacentral:rRNA from 1 species
GGUGCAUGGUUGUCGUCAGCUCGUGUCGUGAGAUGUUGGGUUAAGUCCCGCAACGAGCGCAACCCCUAUUGUUAGUUGCCAUCAUUAAGUUGGGCACUCUAACGAGACUGCCGGUGAUAAACCGGAGGAAGGUGGGGAUGACGUCAAAUCAUCAUGCCCCUUAUGACCUGGGCUACACACGUGCUACAAUGGAUGGUACAACGAGUCGCGAGACAGUGAUGUUUAGCUAAUCUCUUAAAACCAUUCUCAGUUCGGAUUGUAGGCUGCAACUCGCCUACAUGAAGUCGGAAUCGCUAGUAAUCGCGGAUCAGCACGCCGCGGUGAAUACGUUCCCGGGCCUUGUACACACCGCCCGUCACACCACGGGAGUUGGGAGUACCCGAAGUAGGUUGCCUAACCGCAAGGAGGGCGCUUCCUAAGGUAAGACCGAUGACUGGGGUGAAGUCGUAACAAGGUAACCAAGGGCGAAUUCUG